rnacentral:rRNA from 1 species
UACGUAGGGUGCAAGCGUUGUCCGGAAUUAUUGGGCGUAAAGAGCUCGUAGGCGGUUUGUCGCGUCUGCUGUGAAAACCCGAGGCUCAACCUCGGGCCUGCAGUGGGUACGGGCAGACUAGAGUGUGGUAGGGGAGACUGGAAUUCCUGGUGUAGCGGUGAAAUGCGCAGAUAUCAGGAGGAACACCGAUGGCGAAGGCAGGUCUCUGGGCCGCUACUGACGCUGAGAAGCGAAAGCGUGGGGAGCGAACAGG